rnacentral:rRNA from 1 species
GACGAACCGUGCGAACGUUAUUCGGAAUUACUGGGCGUAAAGGGCGCGUAGGCGGCCUCGUCCGUCCGGCGUGAAAUGCCUGGGCUCAACCUAGGAAUUGCGCUCGAUACAGCGAGGCUAGAGUGUGGGAGAGGUUGGUGGAAUUCCCAGUGUAGAGGUGAAAUUCGUAGAUAUUGGGAAGAACACCGGUGGCGAAGGCGGCCAACUGGACCACAACUGACGCUGAGGCGCGAAAGCGUGGGGAGCAAACAGG